CCUUGUAGACUACAAGGUUGAUAGGUCAGGAGUGGAAGUGCAGUAAUGUAUGGAGCGGACUGAUACUAAUAGGCCGAGGGCUUGACCUUA
rnacentral:rRNA from 1 species